AGCCAUGCGUUGAGCACAGAGCGAACUAUUCUUUCGCCUUUUACUAAAGAAUACCGUGUGCUCGUCGCUUUAAGUGGUAUACGCCUAUUUUUAAGGGGGCUGCACCUCUGUGGGUGCC
rfam:Prunus persica cultivar Lovell chromosome G2, whole genome shotgun sequence.